UCUCCCCGAUGAGCUUAUCCAGGAGGGCAAAGACAUCAAGAGCAUCUCUGAGAUUGAGGAGACUGGAGACCACUUCAAGGUGACUGUCACCACGGGGACAAAGAUCCUCACCAACUCCUUCACCAUUGGCCAGGAGACGGAGCUCGAGACGCUGACCGGGAGAAGGUCAAUUCUGUGGUGAUGAGGGAAGGUAACAAGCUGAAGGUCUCCCUGAAGGGGAUCGAUUCUGUCACAGAACUGGCAGAUGCAAACGUCAACACCAUGACUGUAGCGGGCAUUGCUUACAAGAGGAUCAGCAAACGAAUAUGAUCAUCUACUGCACUGUUUGGAUUAAUAAAAUGUGAAAGCAA